rnacentral:misc_RNA from 1 species
GAAAUCCUGCAGAAAAGUGAUAAAGUGUGUAUAUGCUAUGGAUCUUGUGAAAUUUCAUCCUUGUUCCUAUUAAUUUCAAAUAUAGGACCAUAACUUUUAGAUGCAAUCUAGUUAGACUUGUAAUUAGAAUAACUAGCAGGAAACAAUUGAUUAGAUUCUACAAUUUUGACUAGUUCAACCUUUUGGUUGAACCUGGAUUAAAAGAUACUGAUGCUUUGUUUUCUCCCUACAACUAUGGAUUAAAAUUUUCAUGCCAAAUUUUUGAAAACUGUGAUCCAAAAUUAGUUCAACUUGGAAAUGAUAUUAUUAAUAUGACUGUAAAAAGUUUUGGCAUCAUGUUGUCUUAAGUUACUGCAAUUGAUUAUCAUUUUUAUCUUUAUUAUAUUAAUUGUAGAUGGCUACUUCUUUAAAAGGAAAGAUACGAUUGCUUGUCAAUAUAUUUCUUGAAGUAUGCUGAUUCACUAAAAUUUUUGGGUUGAUUACUUUCCCUUCGUCAUCUUAUUUUGUGUUCUUUGAUUUCAAUUUCCUCAUGCAGAUUUUGUUCAUUGGACCUGUUCAU